rnacentral:rRNA from 1 species
AGCUCCAAUAGCGUAUAUUAAAGUUGUUGCAGUUAAAAAGCUCGUAGUUGGAUUUCUGGUAGAAGGUUAGAGCGCACCUGUGUGAGGCUCGCGUCUUCUGCCAUCCUUCUGUUAACCUUUCAUGGCAUUGACUUGUCGGUUAGGGGCUCAGAUAUUUUACCUUGAGAAAAUUAGAGUGUUUCAGGCAGGCUUGUGCCCGGAUACAUUAGCAUGGAAUAAUGGAAUAGGACUUCGGCCUCUUCUGUUGGUCUGAGGGGUUGGAGUAAUGAUUAAUAGGGAUAGUUGGGGGCAUUAGUACUUAACUGUCAGAGGUGAAAUUCUCGGAUUUGUUAAAGACUAACUUAUGCGAAAGCAUUUGCCAAGGAUGUUU